rnacentral:rRNA from 1 species
AGCGUUCGCUUCGUAGUGACCUGCGGAAGGAUCAUUA